CAUUUCCUGGGAAAAGCGUUAGGUAUUUCCCAACGUACUUUGAAAGUAAAAACGAGCUUGUCCUACUGCACGGCUCCGUUUUCCAUGCCUUAAGGACCGGGUGCACCUGCCUUAAGGACCGGCCUCGGUGCGCUCGACUACCUUAAGAAAAUGAAGUUCACAGAAAAAUUUUAGGGCCUGGGAAAUAUGACAGUGAUUCUCAACUCUAGUCACAUUUGUUAGAGAUCUUUAAGAAAAUAGAUUCCCGGAUAGCUUUGGCUAAACCAGAAGGUUGGCUGGACUCGUUGGAUUGCCUUGGAGUUCCUGCCCUGCUCCCUUCUCCUUAGAAGGCCUCUUUGCAACGUCUUCUUGAACAUAGAUUACUUGAAAAGGAUCAUCUAUGAUCCCAUGUUAGAGGCUGGAGUCAGUACAGAAUAUUCCAGGGUCCUGCCCGCUGUGAGAAGACGGUACCUGAUGGACAACGAGUGUCUCCGUUCCUGCGCUUGGUCACCUACACACGUUUCCAGCGCGCCCUCCGCUACCCAGCCCUGUCCUUUGGCCCGGCCGAUAAUGUUGGGGUAGACGAACUGGGGCUCCCGCGACCCAGCCAGGCCCGCCUUAAUCACUCCUGAGCCGUUGUCGAUCACCACUGGUAGCUGGUAGUAGUAGCUCAUGCCGCCUCCGCCUCCUAUCGCUUGGCUACUCCGGCUGCCCUGGCUGCGGGCUACGCUAGGGAGCGAAAGUGCGCAGCGUGGGCCCUUGGGCAGCGCCAGAAGGCCUACGGCCUGGAACGUCGCGUCACAGAAGCGCUGGCCUGACCACGGGGCCUGCGCCUGGCAGGCGUGCCCUGGAGAGCCUAGGCCCAUUGACCCUCCAAAGUGCUGCCUUCCCCCCCCCCCCCCCCCUACUGCAUCUCACAGGGUCUGGGUCACUUGCCACCCCCUGGAAUCCCGGGAUACCAAUAUCAGGAAAACCCAACUUUCUUCCCUAAUGAUAUAAAUCUAACCCUUCACAAGGGGCCUCCCCCAAUACCUCGAUGAGUCAUAAAAAGUUUUCUUUUCCAAAGCCUUUGAAUUCUGGUUAAUAUGUCUGUCCAUGGGCAUGUUGAAAGUUCUAGAACGUGCCCUUGAACCUAGGAAAAGGUGGGAAGAUUUGACUAGAGAAAGUUGUCACAGAAGACGCCCGGUUUGUGCUUCUGGAAACCCUUGUCAACUUUUGAAAACACAAAGGAAAGAAUGCUAGGAUUUAAAGUGGGCUCUAUAUACUUUUAUUAAUGUUUCUAUACACCAGGCAAAUACUUUGUUGCGCUUCUUUCCUGCAGUUUCUAAGCAAAAUGUAGUCAAAACCAAAAUGGUAGAAGCUCACUUUUUUGGAUUGAUUCAUUUUUAGCAAUCUCAUCUGGUGAUCCCCCAUGUAAUAUGAAGGUCAUUCCUAUUUCCUAAAAAAUACAGGUAAUGGUCUCACGGUUUCCUGAGUUGGAGCCCCGCAUCCGGCUCUGCACUGACUGUGCAGGGUCUACUUGGGAUUCUCUCUCUCU